CUAUUUUACUCGUUUUUUCUUAAAAAGUAUCUUGAUAUAAGAUAGUAACGUUUAAGAACACAACGAUGCUUCGUUUUUCUUCGUUGCUUUUCCAUGGCCAUAAAUAAUUAUUUAAACUAUUGUUAUUUUAGAUACUGUCCUAUAUAUCAAAUAUGAUCUUUUUUAAUACGACUUUUUUUAUCCUAAUUUCAUCUCUUUAUUUUUAAUAUAAUAGAUCGCUAACAAAGAUUAGUUUCUGAAAAGCUGGUUAGUUACCAUGUCGUAGAAGUAUCGCUUACAACUAGUUACUAAGAAUAGGAAGGGAACGGGAGGAUGGCUGAAACAUACGAACAAAACUAUUAAUGUUCCAUCUACGUAAUAGCUAAGGUCUAAAUUCGUUGAUCCGAAGAAUCCAAGGUUUUAGCGAACCUAGAAUGUUCAUCCAAGUCUGCCCGAUGAUGCAACACGAAGAGAGCGAGACAGAAGAACGAGAAGAGGAUCGAAACACCGGGGUUCUCAGAGCAAGUCCUUCGAUUUAUGUUUCCUCGAACGACGCGACGAAAGAACAAGAAGAUGGACAAAUCACGUAGAGGAAGUGAUCGCUGGUGAAAAGGUGAAAUGUCGAGCAGUGACCGAUUUCGGGGACAGUGAGACGCGAGAAAGUUCAGUGACCAUAAGUGCCAACCCUGACGAGGAACGAUAGUGUCGUAGACGGUUCUGUAGCUAUCAAAUUGCUCGUGUACGAAAAUAGUCGUAAAUAUCGGCCCUAAAUGACGAUCGUGCCACGAAGGAGUGACAUCUUCGAAUGAUCCACAAAGCGUUCUCAUCGAGAACCUUGAUCGAUGUAUCCCAUCCGGAUCUUCUUAUGGCUCGUCUUCAGCUACCCUGAUUAUGCCAAUCUCGUGGCUUCAACGAAAAAACUCAACGAAGGAGGAAAACUCGAAGAACAGAACCAGGAAACGUGUAUUCGUCUAUAGAUUCAAG
rnacentral:lncRNA from 1 species